rnacentral:rRNA from 1 species
GUGGGGAAUCUUGCGCAAUGGGCGAAAGCCUGACGCAGCCAUGCCGCGUGAAUGAUGAAGGUCUUAGGAUUGUAAAAUUCUUUCACCGGGGACGAUAAUGACGGUACCCGGAGAAGAAGCCCCGGCUAACUUCGUGCCAGCAGCCGCGGUAAUACGAAGGGGGCUAGCGUUGCUCGGAAUUACUGGGCGUAAAGGGCGCGUAGGCGGAUCGUUAAGUCAGGGGUGAAAUCCCAGAGCUCAACUCUGGAACUGCCCUUGAUACUGACGAUCUUGAGUGUGAGAGAGGUAUGUGGAACUCCGAGUGUAGAGGUGAAAUUCGUAGAUAUUCGGAAGAACACCAGUGGCGAAGGCGACAUACUGGCUCAUUACUGACGCUGAGGCGCGAAAGCGUGGGGAGCAAACAGGAUUAGAUACCCGGGUAGUCC